rnacentral:rRNA from 1 species
UACAGAGGGUGCGAGCGUUGUCCGGAAUCACUGGGCGUAAAGGGCGCGUAGGUGGCCCGACAAGUCACUGGUGAAAGCUCGAUGCUCAACAUCGAGUCGGCCAGUGAUACUGUGGGGCUGGAGCACUGUAGAGGCUCAUGGAAUUCCGGGUGUAGCGGUGGAAUGCGUAGAGAUCCGGAAGAACACCGGUGGCGAAGGCGGCCUGCUGGGCAGUUGCUGACACUGAGGCGCGACAGCGUGGGGAGCAAACAGG